rnacentral:rRNA from 1 species
GACAGAGGUGCCAAGCGUUAGGCGGAAUCACUGGGCUUAAAGCGUGUGUAGGCGGGCGAUCAAGUACCUUGUGAAGUCCCACGGCUCAACCGUGGAACUGCUGGGUAUACUGGUUGUCUUGAGCCAGCUAGGGGCGAGCGGAACAGACGGUGGAGCGGUGAAAUGCGUAGAUAUCGGAAGGAACACCAGUGGCGAAAGCGGCUUCCUGGUCCGACACCGACGUUCAGGCACGAAAGCGUGGGGAGCAAACAGG